ACGGUCCUAAGGUAGCGAAAUUCCUUGUCGGGUAAGUUCCGACCUGCACGAAUGGCGUAAUGAUGGCCAGGCUGUCUCCACCCGAGACUCAGUGAAAUUGAACUCGCUGUGAAGAUGCAGUGUACCCGCGGCAAGACGGAAAGACCCCGUGAACCUUUACUAUAGCUUGACACUGAACAUUGAGCCUUGAUGUGUAGGAUAGGUGGGAGGCUUUGAAGUGUGGACGCCAGUCUGCAUGGAGCCGACCUUGAAAUACCACCCUUUAAUGUUUGAUGUUCUAACGUGGACCCGUUACCCGGGUUGCGGACAGUGUCUGGUGGGUAGUUUGACUGGGGCGGUCUCCUCCUAAAGAGUAACGGAGGAGCACGAAGGUUGGCUAAUCCUGGUCGGACAUCAGGAGGUUAGUGCAAUGGCAUAAGCCAGCUUGACUGCGAGCGUGACGGCGCGAGCAGGUGCGAAAGCAGGUCAUAGUGAUCCGGUGGUUCUGAAUGGAAGGGCCAUCGCUCAACGGAUAAAAGGUACUCCGGGGAUAACAGGCUGAUACCGCCCAAGAGUUCAUAUCGACGGCGGUGUUUGGCACCUCGAUGUCGGCUCAUCACAUCCUGGGGCUGAAGCAGGUCCCAAGGGUAUGGCUGUUCGCCAUUUAAAGUGGUACGCGAGCUGGGUUUAGAACGUCGUGAGACAGUUCGGUCCCUAUCUGCCGUGGGCGCUGGAGAACUGAGGGGGGCUGCUCCUAGUACGAGAGGACCGGAGUGGACGCAUCACUGGUGUUCGGGUUGUCAUGCCAAUGGCACUGCCCGGUAGCUAAAUGCGGAAGAGAUAAGUGCUGAAAGCAUCUAAGCACGAAACUUGCCCCGAGAUGAGUUCUCCCUGAGACUUAGAGUCUCCUGAAGGAACGUUGAAGACGACGACGUUGAUAGGCCGGGUGUGUAAGCGCAGCGAUGCGUUGAGCUAACCGGUACUAAUGAACCGUGAGGCUUAACCUUACAACGCCGAAG
rnacentral:rRNA from 1 species